rnacentral:rRNA from 1 species
GACGAACGCUGGCGGCGUGCCUAAUACAUGCAAGUCGAACGCAGUGGGGACGGGUGAGUAACACGUGGGUAACCUGCCAUAAGAGGGGAUAACACUUGGAAAAAGGCGCUAAAAAUGCUACUGAUGGAGGGACCCGCGGUGCAUUCGCUAGUUGGUGGGGUAACGGCUCACCAAGGCCACGAGCCAUAGCCGACCUGAGAGGAUGAUCAGCCACACUGGGACUGAGACACGGCCCAGACUCCUACGGGAGGCAGCAGUAGGGAAUCUUGCGCAAUGGACGAAAGUCUGACCGAGCAAUGCCGCGUGAAUGAAGAAGGUUUUCGGGUCGUAAAACUCUGUUGGUAGAGAAGCGGUAUCUAACCAGGAAGCCACGGCUAACUACGUGCCAGCAGCCGCGGUAAUAC